UACGUAGGGUGCAAGCGUUGCUCGGAUUUACUGGGCGUAAAGCGUACGCAGACGGUGAGGAAGGUCGGAUGUGAAAGCCCUGGGCUCAACCCAGGAACUGCAUCCGAAACCCCCUCGCUAGAGUAUAGGAGAGGGAAGCGGAAUUCCUGGUGUAGAGGUGAAAUUCGUAGAUAUCAGGAGGAACAUCUGCGGCGAAGGCGGCUUCCUGGCCUAUUACUGACGUUCAGGUACGAAAGCGUGGGUAGCAAACAGG
rnacentral:rRNA from 1 species